AGGGUUCGAGUUCUGGCUCAGGAUGAACGCUAGCUACAGGCUAACACAUGCAAGUCGAGGGGCAGCAUGUCGGUUGCUUGCAACCAAUGAUGGCGACCGGCGCACGGGUGAGUAACGCGUAUCCAACCUUCCCCUUAGUAGGGCAUAGCCCGUAGAAAUGCGGAUUAAUACCCUAUGUUGUAUAUUGAGGACAUCUGAUUUAUACCAAAGGUUCACCGCUAAGGGAUGGGGAUGCGUCUGAUUAGGUUGUUGGCGGGGUAACGGCCCACCAAGCCUACGAUCAGUAGGGGUUCUGAGAGGAAGGUCCCCCACAUUGGAACUGAGACACGGUCCAAACUCCUACGGGAGGCAGCAGUGAGGAAUAUUGGUCAAUGGACGAGAGUCUGAACCAGCCAAGUAGCGUGCAGGAUGACGGCCCUAUGGGUUGUAAACUGCUUUUAUGCGGGGAUAAAGUGAGGGACGUGUCCCUUAUUGUAGGUACCGCAUGAAUAAGGACCGGCUAAUUCCGUGCCAGCAGCUGC
rnacentral:rRNA from 1 species